CGGUAAUUCCAGCUCCAAUAGCGUAUAUUAAAGUUGUUGUGGUUAAAAAGCUCGUAGUCGAACCUUGGGCCUGGCUGGCCGGUCCCCCUCACCGGGUGCACUGAUCCAGCCGGGCCUUUCCCUCUGUGGAACCCCAUGGCCUUCACUGGCUGUGCGGGGGAAACAGGACUUUUACUGUGAAAAAAUUAGAGUGCUCCAGGCAGGCCUAUGCUCGAAUACAUUAGCAUGGAAUAAUAGAAUAGGACGUGUGGUUCUAUUUUGUUGGUUUCUAGGACCGCCGUAAUGAUUAAUAGGGACAGUCGGGGGCAUCAGUAUUCAGUUGUCAGAGGUGAAAUUCUUGGAUCUACUGAAGACUAACUACUGCGAAAGCAUUUGCCAAGGAUGUUUUCAUUGAUAAGGAACGAAAGUUAGGGGAUCGAAGACGAUCAGAUACCGUCGUAGUCUUAACUAUAAACUAUGCCGACUAGGGAUCGGACGAUGUUAUUAUUUGACGCGUUCGGCACCUUUCGAGAAAUCAAAGUGCUUGGGCUCCAGGGGGAGUAUGGUCGCAAGGCUGAAACUUAAAGAAAUUGACGGAAGGGCACCACCAGGGGUGGAACCUGCGGCUUAAUUUGACUCAACACGGGGAAACUCACCAGGUCCAGACACAGUGAGGAUUGACAGAUUGAGAGCUCUUUCUUGAUUCUGUGGGUGGUGGUGCAUGGCCGUUCUUAGUUGGUGGAGUGAUUUGUCUGCUUAAUCGCGAUAACGAACGAGACCUUAACCUGCUAAAUAGCCCGUACUGCUCUGGCAGUUCGCUGGCUUCUUAGAGGGACUAUCGGCUCAAGCCGAUGGAAGUUUGAGGCAAUAACAGGUCUGUGAUGCCCUUAGAUGUCCUGGGCCGCACGCGCGGCGCACUGACAGAGUCAGCGAGUACCUCCUUGGCCGGAAGGCCCGGGUAAUCUUGUUAAACUC
rnacentral:rRNA from 1 species